rnacentral:rRNA from 1 species
UACGGAGGGUGCGAGCGUUGUCCGGAAUCACUGGGCGUAAAGGGCGCGUAGGCGGCUUGUCGCGUCGGAUGUGAAAGCCCGGGGCUUAACUCCGGGUCUGCAUUCGAUACGGGCAGGCUAGAGUUCGGUAGGGGGGACUGGAAUUCCUGGUGUAGCGGUGAAAUGCGUAGAUAUCGGGAGGAACACCGGUGGCGAAGGCGGCCCCCUGGUUGGAUACUGACGCUGAGACGCGAAAGCGUGGGGAGCAAAGCAGG